ACUAUUAAAGGGCUUAGUAUUUUGAAAAUACCUUAAACAAUUGUUCAACUCAAUUAAAUAGUU
rnacentral:tRNA from 1 species